GUCCACGCCCUAAACGAUGUCUACUAGUUGUCGGGUCUUAAUUGACUUGGUAACGCAGCUAACGCGUGAAGUAGACCGCCUGGGGAGUACGGUCGCAAGAUUAAAACUCAAAGGAAUUGACGGGGACCCGCACAAGCGGUGGAUGAUGUGGAUUAAUUCGAUGCAACGCGAAAACCUUACCUACCCUUGACAUGGCUGGAAUCCCGGAGAGAUCUGGGAGUGCUCGAAAGAGAGCCAGUACACAGGUGCUGCAUGGCUGUCGU
rnacentral:rRNA from 1 species